CGAACCAAGAAAUUAACACUGAUCCAUGUAGUUACUCUCCUCUUGUCUUUUCUCUACUAGUAACUUAACUAGAAAAAAUCUGCAAAGUCAUCACAGUGAAUUAAGGUGAUGAACAUGCAUUGACAUGUCCAGAAAACUGCACGUGUGAGUUUUGGUUUUGAAACUAAUGGAACACACAAGUCCAGUGAUGAUCAGUUGCUGUCAUGAUACAGUAGCUAGAUCUUAGCAAGCAGAAUCAAUGUAGUUUUCAAUCUUAUAGUGGGCUUGAUAAAAGAAGCAGACUGGAAGAAGAGAAAAUACAAGUCCACAAAUCGAUACAGUUGGUUUUUGCUCUCCAGUUAUUGCAUAAACAAGUUGGGUUUUCAAGCUUUGCAGUAUAGGCCAACUGACCCGAGUGGAUAUUUAAGAUCUGGACUUGGCUUGUCGACCAUGAUAAAAAAAAAGUUAUACAUGUGUACUGUGCCAGAGCCUUGAAGAGAAAAAUGGAAAAGUGAGGGUUUCUCAUCUAGGCUUCAACUGUUGUUGUGAUAAUCAGUCUCAUUUCUGCAGUUUCAGGGGGGUUUUUGUUCAUCAGUCAAUGUGGCUUGAUCGAU